rnacentral:SRP_RNA from 1 species
GCCGGGCAUGUUGGCACUUGCCUGUAAUCCCAGCUACUCAGGAGGCUGAAGCAGGAGAAUUGCUCGAACCCAGGAGGCGGAGGUUGCAGUGAGCCGAGAUUGCACCACUACACUCCAGCCUGGGCAACAGAGCGAGACUCUGUUUCAA